UGUCUAAAACAUAGUGUUAAUGCAUUGGAUCCCAUUAGAACUUCACAGUUAAGUGUGAUUAGGCUAGAGUAGUACUAGGAUGGGUGACCUCCCAAGAAUUCCUAGUGGUUUACAUGC
rnacentral:rRNA from 1 species